UGUAAUUCCGAAGCCACGAGUCGCCAAA
rnacentral:sRNA from 1 species